rnacentral:rRNA from 1 species
UCCGUAGGGCGCGAGCGUUGUCCGGAUUUAUUGGGCGUAAAGAGCUCGUAGGCGGCUUGUCGCGUCGACUGUGAAAUCCCGCGGCUCAACUGCGGGUCUGCAGUCGAUACGGGCAGGCUAGAGUUCGGUAGGGGAGACUGGAAUUCCUGGUGUAGCGGUGAAAUGCGCAGAUAUCAGGAGGAACACCGAUGGCGAAGGCAGGUCUCUGGGCCGAUACUGACGCUGAGGAGCGAAAGCGUGGGGAGCGAACAGG